rnacentral:pre_miRNA from 1 species
GUUGGAAUAGCUGGGUCAAAUGGUAGUUCCAUUUCAGGUUUUCUGAGUUAUCUCCAUACUACUUUCCAUAAUGGUUGCACCAAUUUGCAGACCCACCAGUAAU